GCCCGAGGGGGCGGGGACGGAGGGAGCGGAGCCGGAGCCAGGGCGCCCGCUCGCCGGUGGGGGCGCGUGGCCUUCAAGGGUGGAGGUCCCCAGAGGGCGCUCGGGCGCUAGGUGUUCAGGUGGUGGUCGGGAGGAGCGAGGCACGGGGAGGUGGAGGGAAGUGGGAGCCGAGGAAGGGAGGGGAGGAAGGGCGCCCGGGCUGCGGAGCCGGAGGGAGGAGGGUUCUUGGAGGGAGGAGCCGGGAAAGGUGGAGCGCGCUCAGGGGUUGAGGAGUUGGGGGAUGAGGGAGGGGGCGCGCUCGGAGAGGGGCUCCUGGGUGUGCGCGCUGCCGUCUACGCCGCCGUGCCAGCCUGUGGCGACGGUCGGGGGUUGUCUGGGAGACCACGGCCGGCUGUCCGCUCAGAUCCCAUCCGGAUCCCACCCGAUCCACCGAGAUCCACACUCUCCAGCCCAAGUCCUAGGACUUGAUCUGGGACCCGGGACGGGACCCCUGGGAGGUGGAGGGAGACGAGCGAGCUGGGUCCCCGGUGUAGAAAUUGGGGAGCCGCAGGCUGGGGGCCAGGUCCCCGGGGAGAGGAGAGGGCCAGGCUGACCCUGAGGCUGCAGGGGGUGAGGGGCGAGAGAAGGGGGCGAGCCGCGGCGAGAGAAGGGGGCGAGCCCCGGGAACCUCUGGGACUUGGGUGUGGAGGGCUUCGCUGUCCUCAGCCCUCGGAUCCGUCUCCUCCGGACCUCGCCCGCUGUCUUUGUCAGUCUCAGCCCCUUCUCCUCGGCAUUGCACAUGCCUCCACUCCUGGAACGCCCCGGACACCGUCCUCCUAGAGUUCAAAUCCUGGGCAGUUAUGCUGGGCCUGCUCAGAACGAGCUUUCUGCGAACUCCCCUGGACUCCUGCUUCCUCUUUCCCGCCCCUGUAGGUGAAAGGGCAGCUGCGACUUGCCUUUUCUUCCCAAUCCAAAUGCAGCUUGCAAUCCAGAGCUGGAAGACUGGGAAAGGGAAGCGGAAUGCCACCUGUGCCUGCACCACACUGCUACUGGCUAGUCACCCCACGGGGACAGCCAUGGGGACAGCUGUGCAGUCUGGACGCAGUGACCCAGGGCUGACCUUGCAGAAGACAGGGAAGCUCUGGCACAGCAGAGCUACCUUGGGCCUCAAUUCCUGAGUGCAUGGCCUGGUGAGAGAGGGGACAGAGGAGGCAGGAAAAGAACAGGGAGAACACCAUAAUAAAGUCAUUUUCAUCCAUCACUGAGCCCAGUAACUCUUAACCUUUUGGUGGGGCUCCCCCUGAGAAUCUAAUAAAAGUUAUGAAACUGUCCUUGGAAAAGUGUGUGCACACAAAAUUUCAAAGAACUCAUGGAGUCCCUGAGUCCCAUCUGUGCAGCCCUGGGAAGUCCCUAAGGUUUUUGCUGAUCAGAAAGAGGCCCAGAAAGAGAGGUGGCUUGCCCGGGUUCCCACUCUGACUUGCAGUAGUGCCUGUGCAUGCAGGAACCCAACAGGCUCAAAGUGACUGGCGGUGGUUCCCCUUGAGUGACACAUACACACUAGCAGGGACAGAGAGGCCCGCUACCAGGGAGAGUUGUCCUCUGAGGGGAGGCUGUCAGCAGGUCCAAUCCAGUUCUGAGCAGCUGCAGUCACCAAGCAUGAGAUCAGGAUAAAGCCUCCCCACUUCCAGGGCCCAGCCUUGGACAGACUGGCAUCAUCUCUGCUCCACUGUGGCAGCACUGCCCAAGCCCGAACCUCAGGUCCCCCAAAGGUGGCCUGGGGGUCGGGCACCAUGCUGCUUCCCACCCUCCUCUUUGGGAUGCUGUGGGCACUAGCUAAUGGGUAAGCAGCCCCCAGGACCCUUCCGGCUAAGAUCCUCUGGCUGAUACCCAGGGACCCUGUGUGACACCAGCCUUGCCUCCCUGUGUUUCUCUCUCCAACUUUAGCCUCCUCCUUGUUUUAGAGACCUCCCCUGGGAAUUAGCUCUUAUGGGAGGAGUGGGGUUGCAGGACAACUUCUUGAGGACAGAGGGAAUGGUGGUAGCAGCUGUGACUCCCUAUCCUGGACAGGCAAUGGUGUGAAUGGACAGAGAUCAUCCAUGAGGAGGAAGAAGUAACCCCCCGUCAGGAGGACCUGGUGCCCUGCACCAGCCUCUACCAUUACAGCCUCCUAGGCUGGCGUCUGGACCUGCCCUACUGGGGUGGCCGUGGAGGGUUCACCAGGUCCCCAGCACCUGGGCUCUGCCCCAUCUACACGUGAGUGAGGGUCAGAGGCUGGGCUGUCUGUGGAGCAAUAAAGGAAUGAUGGCCGGACAUUCUGUGAUGGGGGAGGAUGGGGCACAAGCAGAAAUUUGGGAAGUAGGGGCUGAACACUAACAUCCCUCCCUGCUUCCUCCUGUUUGGUGCAUUCAGAGCCCCCAAAAUGCAGCCUGUCACCCGGAACCGGACAGUGAGGGCUUGCUGCCCAG
rnacentral:lncRNA from 1 species